rnacentral:rRNA from 1 species
UGGGGAAUAUUGGACAAUGGGCGCAAGCCUGAUCCAGCCAUUCCGCGUGCAGGAUGAAGGCCCUCGGGUUGUAAACUGCUUUUGUACGGAACGAAAAGGCUCUGGUUAAUACCUGGGGCUCAUGACGGUGCCGUAAGAAUAAGCACCGGCUAACUACGUG